rnacentral:rRNA from 1 species
UACGUAGGGUGCGAGCGUUAAUCGGAAUUACUGGGCGUAAAGGGUGCGCAGGCGGCCGAGCAAGUCGAGUGUGAAAGCCCCGAGCUUAACUUGGGAACUGCGCUCGAAACUACUUGGCUAGAGUGUGGCAGAGGGAGGUGGAAUUCCGGGUGUAGCGGUGAAAUGCGUAGAUAUCCGGAGGAACACCGGUGGCGAAGGCGGCUUCCUGGACCGACACUGACGCUGAGGCGCGAAAGCUAGGGGAGCAAACGGG